rnacentral:rRNA from 1 species
AUUGAACGCUGGCGGCAGGCCUAACACAUGCAAGUCGAACGGUAGCACAGAGAGCUUGCUCUCGGGUGACGAGUGGCGGACGGGUGAGUAAUGUCUGGGAAACUGCCCGAUGGAGGGGGAUAACUACUGGAAACGGUAGCUAAUACCGCAUAACGUCGCAAGACCAAAGUGGGGGACCUUCGGGCCUCACACCAUCGGAUGUGCCCAGAUGGGAUUAGCUAGUAGGUGGGAUAAUGGCUCACCUAGGCGACGAUCCCUAGCUGGUCUGCGAGGAUGACCGGCCACAAUGGAACUGCGACACGGUCCAGACUCCUACGGGAGGCAGCAGUAGGGAAUAUUGCACAAUGGGCGCAAGACUGAUGCAGCCAUGCCGCGUGUAUGAAGAAGGCCUUCGGGUUGUAAAGUACUUUCAGCGGGGAGGAAGGCGGUGAAGUUAAUAGCUUCACCGAUUGACGUUACCCGCAGAAGAAGCACCGGCUAACUCCGUGCCAGACGCCGCGGUAA